AGCUGAGUCUGGGGGUCAUAGUGGGGGUCGAAACAUAGCUGAGUCUAGGGGUCAUAGUGGAGGGGUCAAACAUAGCUGAGUCUAGGGGUCAUAGUGGAGGAGUCGAAACAUAGCUGAGUCUAGGGGUCAUAGUGGAGGGGUCGAAACAUAGCUGAGUCUAGGGGUCAUAGUGGAGGGGUCGAAACAUAGCUGAGUCUAGGGGUCAUAGUGGAGGGGUCAAAACAUGGCUGAGUCUGGGGGUCAUAGUGGAGGGGUCGAAACAUAGCUGAGUCAAGGGGUCAUAGUGGUGGGGUCGAAACAUAGCUGAGUCUAGGGGUCAUAGUGGAGGGGUCGAAACAUGGCUGAGUCUGGGGGUCAUAGUGGAGGGUCAACAUGGAAACCUGAAUUGAAGAGGCAGGGAAGGUACAGGUUGCUCCCCCCAACUGUGCAUAUGAAUUAAUGACACUAGAUAAAUACAGA
ensembl:lncRNA